AGAGGGUGAUCGGCCACACUGGAACUGAGACACGGUCCAGACUCCUACGGGAGGCAGCAGUAGGGAAUCUUCCGCAAUGGGCGAAAGCCUGACGGAGCAACGCCGCGUGAGUGAUGAAGGUCUUCGGAUCGUAAAACUCUGUUGUUAGGGAAGAACAAAUUUGUUAGUAACUGAACAAGUCUUGACGGUACCUAACCAGAAAGCCACGGCUAACUACGUGCCAGCAGCCGCGGUAAUACGUAGGUGGCAAGCGUUAUCCGGAAUUAUUGGGCGUAAAGCGCGCGUAGACGGUUUCUUAAGUCUGAUGUGAAAGCCCACGGCUCAACCGUGGAGGGUCAUUGGAAACUGGGAAACUUGAGUGCAGAAGGGGAGAGUGGAAUUCCAUGUGUAGCGGUGAAAUGCGCAGAGAUAUGGAGGAACACCAGUGGCGAAGGCGGCUCUCUGGUCUGUAACUGACGCUCAUGUGCGAAAGCGUGGGGAUCAAACAGGAUU
rnacentral:rRNA from 1 species